UACGGGGGGAGCAAGCGUUGUUCGGAUUUACUGGGCGUAAAGGGCGCGUAGGCGGUCAGCACAAGUCAGUUGUGAAAUCUCCGGGCUUAACUCGGAAAGGUCAACUGAUACUGUGCGACUAGAGUGGCAGAAGGGGCAACUGGAAUUCUCGGUGUAGCGGUGAAAUGCGUAGAUAUCGAGAGGAACACCUGCGGCGAAGGCGGGUUGCUGGGCUGACACUGACGCUGAGGCGCGACAGCGUGGGGGAGCAAACAGG
rnacentral:rRNA from 1 species